rnacentral:rRNA from 1 species
UACGAAGGGGGCUAGCGUUGCUCGGAAUCACUGGGCGUAAAGCGCACGUAGGCGGCUUCUUAAGUCAGGGGUGAAAUCCUGGAGCUCAACUCCAGAACUGCCUUUGAUACUGAGGUAGCUUGAGUCCGGGAGAGGUGAGUGGAACUGCGAGUGUAGAGGUGAAAUUCGUAGAUAUUCGCAAGAACACCAGUGGCGAAGGCGGCUCACUGGCCCGGUACGUGACGCUGAGGUGCGAAAGCGUGGGAGCAACAGG